rnacentral:rRNA from 1 species
AACGAACGCUGGCGGCAGGCCUAACACAUGCAAGUCGAGCGAGGACUUCGGUCCUAGCGGCGGACGGGUGAGUAACGCGUGGGAACGUGCCCUUUGCUUCGGAAUAGCCCUGGGAAACUGGGAGUAAUACCGGAUGAGCCCUUUGGGGGAAAGAUUUAUCGGCGAAGGAUCGGCCCGCGUUGGAUUAGGUAGUUGGUGGGGUAAUGGCCUACCAAGCCGACGAUCCAUAGCUGGUUUGAGAGGAUGAUCAGCCACACUGGGACUGAGACACGGCCCAGACUCCUACGGGAGGCAGCAGUGGGGAAUCUUAGACAAUGGGGGAAACCCUGAUCGAGCCAUGCCGCGUGAGAGAUGAAGGCCUUAGGGUUGUAAAGCUCUUUCAGCUGGGAAGAUAAUGACGGUACCAGCAGAAGAAGCCCCGGCUAACUCCGUG